AACGAACGCUGGCGGCGUGCCUAACACAUGCAAGUCGAACGGGAAAACCCGCAAGGGUGAGUACAGUGGCGCACGGGUGCGUAACACGUGGGUAAUCUGCCCAGAAGCCCGGAAUAACUCCCCGAAAGGGGUGCUAAUGCCGGAUGAGACCACGGGGACUUCGGUUCCUGGGGGAAAAGGUGGCCUCUGUAUACAAGCUAUCACUUCUGGAUGAGCCCGCGGCCCAUCAGCUAGUUGGCGGGGUAAUGGCCCACCAAGGCUACGACGGGUAGCUGGUCUGAGAGGACGAUCAGCCACACUGGAACUGAGAAACGGUCCAGACUCCUACGGGAGGCAGCAGUGGGGAAUCUUGCGCAAUGGGCGAAAGCCUGACGCAGCAACGCCGCGUGUGUGAUGAAGGUCUUCGGAUCGUAAAGCACUGUCGGGAGGGACGAAUAAGGGCCGGGUGAACAAUCCGGUUCGACGACGGUACCUCCAGAGGAAGCACCGGCUAACUACGUGCCAGCCGCCGCCGUAACAC
rnacentral:rRNA from 1 species